UGCACUAUUUUUUGUCCGAGUAGGCCUACUUUCACAUACGUUCUAAAUUUAAGGGCGUAAUUGGUGGUAUGACACCUUAUAGCGCUAAACCUCUUACUUGUAUGACAGUCGCAUCAAAUUCUGUUAUAUAAGCAAGACUUAAUAGUUCACCAAAUUAUAUUCAUCCAUAUAUGUUGACAAAAGCUAAACGUAUAAAGCUCUAUAAUGGAUCUUAAACUUUGUAUCCCCAGAUCUGUAUAAAAGCAUUUUAAAUGAGGU
rnacentral:lncRNA from 1 species